rnacentral:rRNA from 1 species
AGCGAACGCUGGCGGCAGGCCUAACACAUGCAAGUCGAGGGGCCGUAGCAAUACGGCACCGGCAGACGGGAGAGUAACACGUGGGAACGUGCCCUUCAGUUCGGAACAACCCAGGGACACUUGGGCUAAUACCGGAUACGCCCGUACGGGGAAAGAUUUAUCGCUGAAGGAGCGGCCCGCGUCGGAUUAGCUAGUUGGUGAGGUAACGGCUCACCAAGGCGACGAUCAGUAGCUGGUCUGAGAGGAUGAUCAGCCUCACUGGGACUGAGACACGGCCCAGACUCCUACGGGAGGCAGCAGCGGGGAAUAUUGGACAAUGGGCGCAAGCCUGAUCCAGCCAUGCCGCGUGGAUGAUGAAGGCCCUAGGGUUGUAAAGUCCUUUCGACGGGGAAGAUAAUGACGGUACCCGUAGAAGAAGCCCCGGCUAACUUCGUGCCAGCCGCCGCGGUAACAC